rnacentral:rRNA from 1 species
AACGAACGCUGGCGGCAGGCCUAACACAUGCAAGUCGAACGCCGUAGCAAUACGGAGUGGCAGACGGGUGAGUAACGCGUGGGAACAUACCCCUCGGUUCGGAAUAACUCAGGGAAACUUGAGCUAAUACCGGAUACGUCCGAGGUUUUAAUCGACCUUGGAGAAAGAUUUAUCGCCGGAGGAUUGGCCCGCGUCUGAUUAGCUUGUUGGUGAGGUAAUGGCUCACCAAGGCGACGAUCAGUAGCUGGUCUGAGAGGAUGAUCAGCCACAUUGGGACUGAGACACGGCCCAAACUCCUACGGGAGGCAGCAGUGGGGAAUAUUGGACAAUGGGCGAAAGCCUGAUCCAGCCAUGCCGCGUGAGUGAUGAAGGCCUUAGGGUUGUAAAGCUCUUUUACCCGGGAAGAUAAUGACGGUACCGGGAGAAUAAGCCCCGGCUAACUUCGUGCCAGCAGCCGCCG